rnacentral:lncRNA from 1 species
UUAAAUAUAAAAGUAUUGAAAAAUAGUUUUUAUUUUAAUUAUAUGAUGUCAUCGUGUUGUGUUUGUUGAGAUUAUUGUUUAUAAAGAAUUAAAAAUAAAAAACUAUUUUUAUUGGGCUAAUGUAGAAGAUCUCGUGUGAGCUUCUUAUGAUGAGUAGGUGAAUUCAUAUGUUUUACUAAAAAUAGAGUGCCUUACUUUUAGCCACUAGGAAUAGCCUCCUUCAAAGAAUCUGAAUUUGGUUAAAGGAGAAUUUAAAAA